AUUAUCUCAUAUAGCUGGAAAAUCCUAUUUGAGGACUCACAACCAAACACCAACAGAAAAGUUUUCAUUUGACUGGGUACAAGCGUUGUAGAUAGAAAAUUCCAAUACCUGCAAAGAAGAGGACUGUCAUUUCAAAUGGGGAAACAGAGGCAGCUGAGCCACUUUCCCCAAGUCACACAUAGGACUUAGAGCAGGAGUACAGUUGAACCUGAAGGAUUCACAUGUUAGACCUGGCAUUCUUUUGUUACCUGGUGAAGCAUUUCUUUUCCUCGAGCAUUUAGUAAAAGAUGGGGUGUGAGGUCACCAAAUAAACAAUUGGCUGGGCUGAAGACAAAUGUGGAAGUUAAAUGGGAUAAAUCAAGUUGUUAUUGCAGUACUUAAUUAUGAAGAGUCGGUGAACUGAGUUGUUGAGCAGAAUUGUGGCUUUGGCUUCCAGUACCACCCCCUCCCCCAAUGAAGAAAGGAAUAGAAAUGGGUCAUUUUAAAGAGACUUCUCACUAAAGUUUCAUAUACAGUGAUCUCACUACCUCCUAUCCAUCCAUCCAUGUGUUGCUGUAUCUUCUCCCAUUCCACCUUUCCAUGAUCUACCACUUCUAGCUGGAGGCUGGGGAUGUUUGGCAAGAUGAAGUAUAGAGAUACCACUUCUGGGCCCCAAAGUCACCCUGAGGAUGUGGAAAUCUGGAAACCAGAGACUGCAGCCAAUGGUUUUUUUUUUAAUCAGGAAUCACAGUCAAUAUUUACCUGACCUUCAGGAGGCAGAGACAGGCAGAUCUCUGAUUCUGAGGCCAACCUGGUCUACAUAGUGAGUUCCAGGACAGCCAGGGAUAUGUAGGGAGAACUAUGCUGAGAACCUGUUUCUGAAAAUCCAAAGUGUGUGUGUGUGUGUGUGUGUGUGUGUGUGUGUGUGUGUUUCUGUCUGUCUGUCUGUUCUUCUGUCUGUCUUUGUGUGUGUUAUAACCUGAACUGCAUGUUCUCACAGACAAAUUAAGAACAGGGUUCUUUGAAUAAAUAAAUGCUGUGGACUAAAAGCAUCCUUUCAAAACACACAUCCUUAAGCCUAAAUCUGCUCUGUAACGGUCCCUCCAAGUGGAGUCUUUCAGAAGGGGUCAAGUCCUGAGAACAGAGCUCUUACACACUGGUUUAGAGUGUUCAUGAGAAGAAAUUUACAUGGGAGAAUCUGAUGGGAGGGAGUAUGGAAAUGCUUUAGAUAGAGAAUUCAUAUGUGAAAUUUUCAAAAAAUGUUUAGUUAAUAAUAAUCAGGGAGGCUGGUUGGUAAAGCAUUCUCUUGCAAGCACAAGAAACUGAGUUGAGCCACCAGAACUCAAAAAAGUCAGGUGUGGGUGAUGCGCUUUCCAUUCCCAGUACUGAGGAGGCUGAGGCAGGCUGAUCCCUGGCGCUCGCUGGCCAGUCAGUUUAGUGUCCUUAGUGAAUCUCAGGCCAGUGAAACAAUCUGUUCAAAAACAAAAAGAGGAUGUCAUCUGAGGAAUGGAAACCAAGGUUAUCUUCUGGCCUCCACAUGUGCAUGAACACGUGGACAUAUAUGUGUACCUACACGUAUGAACACACAUACACACAAACACAAAAAAGAUAUAAGAGACACAAAGUUGCUCCUCUUUGUCAUAUAAGAGCAUUAAAAAAGGUGGCUGUGUAGAAGCCAGGAGCCACACACCAGAUCUGUGCCUUGAUCCAGAUCAUCUCAGUCUCUGAAACUGUAAGUAAUAAGUGCAUUUUGGUUAAACUGCCCAGUUUAAAAUAUUCUUCAUAAAGCAACCCAGCCUUGCUGAAAUAAAGAGAGUCUCCACAACAUGAGUUUCCACCUUUAUUCGGGCUACCCAGAAUAUACAAAAGCAAUGCUGUUGUAAGAUCUGAAAGAGUCCUACAAGCCUAAGGACGUGGUCCAGCUAAAAUAAACAGCAAAUACAAUAACACAGCUAACCAAAUACUUAGAGAUGCAAUGUUAAAUAUUUAUUUUAGCCUGUUUCAAGUAAGUAGGUACAGAUUGUUCACAUCCCAAGAGACUCUGUUUCUUAAAAGUUUGUAAGAAAAAAAAAUGAUGUCUAAAAACAAACAGUACAGUGUGUUUAUUUUUUAGGGGAAACUGAAAUCAGGGCUACUGAAAAUAAAACUUGAUCAUUCUAACCGC
rnacentral:lncRNA from 1 species